GAGAAAAGAGCUUAUCAAGUUAGCCAAGGUGACUGCCUGAGAACCCAACUAGGCUCUGAUAACUAAUUAAACCUCUUUUAGGAGGCAGGCAAGUCAUCCUUGGCUACCAAACGAGACUCCUUUUUCC
rnacentral:pre_miRNA from 1 species